GACGAACGCUGGCGGCGUGCUUAACACAUGCAAGUUGAACGGAGUAUAUCUGAAGGGUAACCGGAGGAUAUAUUUAGUGGCGAACGGGUGAGUAAUGCAUGAGAACGUAUCCUCAAGAGGGGGACAACAUUGGGAAACCGAUGCUAAUACCCCAUAAGCCGGGAGGUAAAAGGAGCAAUCCGCUUGAGGAGCGGUUCAUGUCCUAUCAGCUGGUUGGUGAGGUAACGGCUCACCAAGGCGAAGACGAGUAGCCGGCCUGAGAGGGUGAACGGCCACACUGGGACUGAGAGACGGUCCAGACUCCUCCGGGAGGCAGCAGGGGGGAAUAAUGGGCAAUGGGGGAAACCCUGACCCAGGGACGCCGCGUGAGGGAAGAAGGCCUUAGGGUCGUAAACCUCUGUUGUGUGGGAAGAAGAGCGUGACGGUACCACACGAGGAAGUCCCGGCUAACUACGUGCCAGCAGCCGCCGUAA
rnacentral:rRNA from 1 species